rnacentral:rRNA from 1 species
CGAUGGGAAACAGGUUAAUAUUCCUGUACUUGGUGUUACUGCGAAGGGGGGACGGAGAAGGCUAUGUUGGCCGGGCGACGGUUGUCCCGGUUUAAGCGUGUAGGCUGGUUUUCCAGGCAAAUCCGGAAAAUCAAGGCUGAGGCGUGAUGACGAGGCACUACGGUGCUGAAGUAACAAAUGCCCUGCUUCCAGGAAAAGCCUCUAAGCAUCAGGUAACAUCAAAUCGUACCCCAAACCGACACAGGUGGUCAGGUAGAGAAUACCAAGGCGCUUGAGAGAACUCGGGUGAAGGAACUAGGCAAAAUGGUGCCGUAACUUCGGGAGAAGGCACGCUGAUAUGUAGGUGAAGCGACUUGCUCGUGGAGCUGAAAUCAGUCGAAGAUACCAGCUGGCUGCAACUGUUUAUUAAAAACACAGCACUGUGCAAACACGAAAGUGGACGUAUACGGUGUGACGCCUGCCCGGUGCCGGAAGGUUAAUUGAUGGGGUUAGCGGUAACGCGAAGCUCUUGAUCGAAGCCCCGGUAAACGGCGGCCGUAACUAUAACGGUCCUAAGGUAGCGAAAUUCCUUGUCGGGUAAGUUCCGACCUGCACGAAUGGCGUAAUGAUGGCCAGGCUGUCUCCACCCGAGACUCAGUGAAAUUGAACUCGCUGUGAAGAUGCAGUGUACCCGCGGCAAGACGGAAAGACCCCGUGAACCUUUACUAUAGCUUGACACUGAACAUUGAGCCUUGAUGUGUAGGAUAGGUGGGAGGCUUUGAAGUGUGGACGCCAGUCUGCAUGGAGCCGACCUUGAAAUACCACCCUUUAAUGUUUGAUGUUCUAACGUUGGCCCGUAAUCCGGGUUGCGGACAGUGUCUGGUGGGUAGUUUGACUGGGGCGGUCUCCUCCUAAAGAGUAACGGAGGAGCACGAAGGUUGGCUAAUCCUGGUCGGACAUCAGGAGGUUAGUGCAAUGGCAUAAGCCAGCUUGACUGCGAGCGUGACGGCGCGAGCAGGUGCGAAAGCAGGUCAUAGUGAUCCGGUGGUUCUGAAUGGAAGGGCCAUCGCUCAACGGAUAAAAGGUACUCCGGGGAUAACAGGCUGAUACCGCCCAAGAGUUCAUAUCGACGGCGGUGUUUGGCACCUCGAUGUCGGCUCAUCACAUCCUGGGGCUGAAGUAGGUCCCAAGGGUAUGGCUGUUCGCCAUUUAAAGUGGUACGCGAGCUGGGUUUAGAACGUCGUGAGACAGUUCGGUCCCUAUCUGCCGUGGGCGCUGGAGAACUGAGGGGGGCUGCUCCUAGUACGAGAGGACCGGAGUGGACGCAUCACUGGUGUUCGGGUUGUCAUGCCAAUGGCACUGCCCGGUAGCUAAAUGCGGAAGAGAUAAGUGCUGAAAGCAUCUAAGCACGAAACUUGCCCCGAGAUG